UCUAGAGGAUCAAGAAGGCUGUCUGAUGAAGCAAGACUUUGCUGAUACAUUCCUCCUAGAGAAAGGGGUGGAGAGAACAGAGUCCUUAUUGAAGAAAACCACAGGGUCAACUCUACUACCCAACAUUU
rnacentral:snoRNA from 1 species